rnacentral:lncRNA from 1 species
ACCCAGUAUGAUCCCCAAUUGAGCCAAACGACGUUGUUCGGCCAUCCUUUCAUCUGAGCCAUUGAUUUGGCUUCAUCCAACGAUCCAGUUUCAUUACCCCAAUUGCAUAAGAAUGUUCGAAUUCUUAACAUUUAACCUCUAUUCGUUUCAUCUCCUUCUCUUAUCUCAUAUCAGAGAACACCAUCUCUGGGCAAGUCUACCAUUUUCACCGGCGUCAUACCUGUUAGAAACCGUGAACAACGCUAGAGGGGGGGUGAAUAGCGUUUUACAGAAAUUAUGCGGAA